rnacentral:rRNA from 1 species
GAAUCAUGGCUCAGGAUGAACGCUAGCUACAGGCUUAACACAUGCAAGUCGAGGGGCAGCGGGAUUGAAGCUUGCUUCAAUUGCCAGCGACCGGCGCACGGGUGAGUAACGCGUAUCCAACCUUCCGUACACUCAGGGAUAGCCUUUCGAAAGAAAGAUUAAUACCUGAUGGUAUGAUGAGAUUGCAUGAUAGCAUCAUUAAAGAUUUAUCGGUGUACGAUGGGGA